UGACAGGUAAUGUACUUUUGUAAUUAGAAGUCAUAUAAUAUAAAUGUUUCUUAUUUCAGCAAUAUAGAACAUAUAAUUGACUAUGGAAGACCUAAAUCUACUUCUGAUGGAAAACAUUUUAGGGCGUGAAAUGUGUAGCACAUCACUGAUUGGCUUUAAUUUUUGUCAAUGUACAAAUCCCAAAGUGAACAACCUACACUUCCAGAGGACAAAGCCUUUGAAAUAAAUUUGUGUUCAUCACACCCUGUGGCACAAGUGAAAUAAUCCUAAAGAAUUGCCAGAGCGGCUGAGAAUGAGGCUCAGGAAAUUGUCAUGAACAAAGGAAUCCGGAAGCUAGCCAGAACUGCACAGACAACGAUAAAGCCACAGAUCCUGUCCAGAGAGGACACUGCUACCACCACCACUGUGCAGUUUGGUUUCUCAGAUUAUACAGCUUCCACCUCUAGCUCUGAUUCCUGGAUGCCACUGUAGGCACCACUGCUACUGGUGCCCUGGAAAAUGGAUGUAGCU